GGAGAGGUGACAGAGCGGCCGAAUGUGCAGCACUGGAAAUGCUGUGCACCCCUCACAGGGUGCCUAGGGUUCGAAUCCCUACCUCUCCG
rnacentral:tRNA from 1 species